rnacentral:lncRNA from 1 species
CAGCGUGUGCCGGUGCUCGGGUGGCCGGUCUGCGGUAUUGUGAUGGUGUCACGGGAAGGAGCGCCCGUAGUCAGGCCCUGGGGAUGUAGCCGAGUUUGGUGAACCUCGUUAACAAAUCUCGGUGUUGUGCACAACCCUUCCCCUUGUCUUACCGGCGGCACCGAGCUGCUCCUCCACCCUUCCUCUGUUGCCGUACGAGCCUCCUUCACUGCCCGCCUCCUCUACUCGCCUGAUCUGCUCAUGUCUUCUCUAUCCACGCCUCUCACGGACAACUCCCUCCACAGCUUCUCCAUGCUUGGCCUCCCCAGCAAGAUCUGCGGUGUUAUAAUUGUCAGAUGUGCUACUCAAUUGAGCAUCUUGAUCGCUUGUGAUAUUAAGAUUUUAGGUUACCAAAUUUGUGAUUCAGAUAUUGGAGCUCUUGUUAGGUUGACCAGAUUAUGUUGUGUGUUGAAUACUGAAACUUCUAUUCAUCUGCCUGUUCCUGUAAUCAUGUCUGAGCUCACUUAGUUCUGUGUUUAGCUCAGGAUUCCCAGCAAGCAAACUAAAUACCUUUUAUCCAAACAACAUUUACUAGGGAAAGAAAUACGAAUAUAUACACUGGUUUUAUUGGUGCUCAGUAGAAUAUUGGGCUAUGUGAUUUACAGGUUUGAAACUUUACAUGGUUUCCCAAACAGAGUACCAGAUAGCCCUUUUCCUUAAAGAUAUUAAUUGUAAAUUCAUAAUAGAACCGAGGGUACAGAGUCAAUAUAUAAAUCUGCCAUAAGGCUAUGAUCCUCAACUGGAUAACCCUUUUCCUUAAAGAUGAGAACUACGCUGAUGUCCGAAUAGGAAACGUGGUAAUAUGAAGAUUUUUCUUUCUUUUGUUAACAGCAAGUAACUAGGCAUAUGAGGAAUUCAGUUGUUGUAAUAAUCCUGUUAAUGUUCCUUUUUCUGGUUCAUUAACAGCUAGACAAUGUCUCUGCUGGGUCAACUGAAUGGAAGGGUCUCCUGAAAGAUUACUGGGAACGAUUCAGCAAAUAUUGCGGAGAUGCUAGGCAGUGGGAUGUCAGAAAGGUAAUUUUUUUUGUGUGGUUCCUUGGAAAAUAUCUGUACCCUUGCACCCAGAAGGUUUUUCACGUAAACAACUACAUCUCGCAUGUGGUUAUUACUCCCAAGUUUUACUAUCUCAUAGUCAAACCAGCUUUUGUUUGACAUAUCAUCUGAAACUAGCAAGUUUUGCAUUUCUUCCAGGGACAAAUGAUAAGUUGUGGGCUAUGACAAUUCUCUUACAUCUGCGGAUAUAUCUUAUUUUGGAUGGAUAGUUUGUCAUUAUUGCUUGAAAGGCUGCUAUCACCCAACUAAAACACAGUUCUAGAGCCCUUAUUCUUAUUCAAACAAAAUUUUGUAUGUAUUACCUAAUUACCCUUUUUUGCAGUUCUCGCUAUAAUAUUUUCGGAACAGGCUUAUAGAUGAACAAAGUAAGAUGUAACCAGCUCACUGAUCCCCCAGCUAAAUAGCAUACUAGUCCUAGAUGGGAUUGUUGCACCUCCAAUAGGAUGUUGAAUCCCACCUGAGCUCAUCUGAAGUAGCGCAAGGUUGAGGAGGCUGGCUGGGAUUGAACUCCACCUUGCUGCUACAAAAUGGACAACACUUACGUUGAAGGAACUACUUCAAUGUGCUGCGCUAGAUAUCGCUCUAGAGGCGAUAUAGGCCGAUAUGGCAGCAGGAGUUCAAUCCAAAACUCCUAGAGCACAAGAUCUAGUCCAAGAUCUUGGAUAAAAAC